GGAUAACAGGAGGAAACUCCUGCUAAUACCGCAUAGCCAUGAGCACCGCAUGGAGCUCAUGCCAAAUAUCCUUUAUGGGAUAGCGCAGGGAUGGACCUAUGGCGCAUUAGCUGGUUGGCGGGGCAACGGCCCACCAAGGCAACGAUGCGUAGCCGGCCUGAGAGGGCGGACGGCCACAUUGGGACUGAGACACGGCCCAGACUCCUACGGGAGGCAGCAGUAGGGAAUUUUCGGCAAUGGGGGAAACCCUGACCGAGCAACGCCGCGUGAGCGAAGAAGGCCUUCGGGUCGUAAAGCUCUGUUGUAAAGGAAGAACGGCGCAUACAGGAAAUGGUAUGCGAGUGACGGUACUUUACCAGAAAGCCACGGCUAACUACGUGCCAGCAGCCGCGGUAAUACGUAGGUGGCGAGCGUUAUCCGGAAUCAUUGGGCGUAAAGAGGGAGCAGGCGGCCGCAAGGGUCUGUGGUGAAAGACCGAAGCUAAACUUCGGUAAGCCAUGGAAACCGGGCGGCUAGAGUGCGGAAGAGGAUCGUGGAAUUCCAUGUGUAGCGGUGAAAUGCGUAGAUAUAUGGAGGAACACCAGUGGCGAAGGCGACGGUCUGGGCCGCAACUGACGCUCAUUC
rnacentral:rRNA from 1 species